CCUCCAUCAGCCUCUGCCUUGCCCCCUAGCUAUUACUGUUGGUCAACACCUGUCUUGUACCAGCCCUCCAACAAGGUCGCUGUAGUGCAAAUAGGCUGACUGUUGCUGACUGACUGCUGGCUCCUGAUAGGCUCCUCUCGGAAAGGGAAGGCUCGGGUCCCAGGGUCAUUUUCGGAAAGGCGAGGAGACUGUGUUUGGUUUCGCUCCUGGGACCAGUCUGAGAAGAGGAAAGAGAAGCAAAUGAAGAAAAAGAGAGAAACAGUAGCUUUUAACACAGUGUAGACCGGGGGGUUGUUUUAACACAGUGUAGACAGGGGGGUUGUUUUAACACAGUAUAGACAGGUGUAGACAGAGGGUUGUUUUAACACAGUGUAGACAGGGGGUUGUUUUAACACAGUGUAGACAGAGGGUUGUUUUAACACAGUGUAGGCAGGGGGUUGUUUUAACACAGUGUAGACAGGGGGUUGUUUUAACACAGUGUAGACAGAG
ensembl:lncRNA